CGAGGUUGAUAGAUCCCAUCUUGGUGUGAUCUGGUUCCUACAAUGAAUAUGCUACAGCCAACAUACACCUCAGGGUUUUGAAUGGCUAGAAGAUCGAGUUAUGGUGUAGUCAAACUAUAACACACUAAAGAUAAACUGUCGAUGUACCUCAGAUCAAAGAACUAGACACACAGCUGCAGUAUCGAGUUAGUCAUCGAUGAGAAGGUAGACUUCCUUAUGACUGCUCGAGGUGGUCACGCUCAGUACUCUCGUUCUCAACGAAUAUCUAUACUCUC
rnacentral:lncRNA from 1 species